GAUGAACGCUGGCGGCGUGCCUAAUACAUGCAAGUCGAGCGAACAGACGAGGAGCUUGCUCCUCUGACGUUAGCGGCGGACGGGUGAGUAACACGUGGAUAACCUACCUAUAAGACUGGGAUAACUUCGGGAAACCGGAGCUAAUACCGGAUAAUAUAUUGAACCGCAUGGUUCCAUAGUGAAAGACGGAUUUGCUGUCACUUAUAGAUGGAUCCGCGCCGCAUUCGCUAGUUGGUAAGGUAACGGCUUACCAAGGCAACGAUGCGUAGACGACCUGAGAGGGUGAGCGCCCACACUGGAACUGCGCCACGGUCCAGACUCCUCCGGGAGGCAGCAGUAGGGAAUCUUCCGCAAUGGGCGAAAGCUUGACGGAGCAACGCCGCGUGAGUGAUGAAGGUCUUCGGAUCGUAAAACUCUGUUAUUAGGGAAGAACAAAUGUGUAAGUAACUAUGCACGUCUUGACGGUACCUAAUCAGAAAGCCACGGCUAACUACGUG
rnacentral:rRNA from 1 species